rnacentral:rRNA from 1 species
UACGGAGGGGGCUAGCGUUGUCCGGAUUUAUUGGGCGUAAAGAGCGUGUAGGCGGCCAGAUAGGUCUGCUGUGAAAACUCGAGGCUCAACCUCGAGAUGUCGGCGGAAACCAUUUGGCUAGAGUCCGGAAGAGGAGAGUGGAAUUCCUGGUGUAGCGGUGAAAUGCGCAGAUAUCAGGAAGAACACCUAUGGCGAAGGCAGCUCUCUGGGACGGUACUGACGCUGAGACGCGAAAGCGUGGGGAGCAAACAGG